rnacentral:misc_RNA from 1 species
AAGUCGUAACAAGGUCUCCGUAGGUGAACCUGCGGAGGGAUCAUUAACACGUAUCCAAACGUUCUCAACCAAACCGUGCUCCUCUUUUUCCCAUAUCGAGAAGGUGUAUAUGCAAGCCACAAGAUAGAUUCGGGAUGGUUGGCCAUCUCGUCUACUUGCAGUACUAUCGGCCCUUUGGAGGCCAAACCGAUCUUGGUAUGGUGUAUGAAAAGCUAUCUGGUUAUCAGUGCCGCCCCGGCUCGGCUCGGCUCGACCCGCAGCGCAGCGCAGCCUGCUAACCUUAUGACUCCCUAUUUUUAACCCCUUUUUAUUUUACAUAAACUACUGACAUUACUUUUAACUUGGACUUGGGUCUGGUUAAAGUUUACGAAACGCGAACAACUCUUAGCAACGGAUAUCUUGGUUCUC